rnacentral:rRNA from 1 species
AGCGAACGCUGGCGGCAGGCUUAACACAUGCAAGUCGAGCGCCCCGCCCGGGGAUCGGCAGACGGGAGAGUAACACGUGGGAACAUACCUUCUGGUUCGGAACAACCGUGGGAAACUUCAGCCAAUACCGGAUAAGCCCUUACGGGGAAAGAUUGAUCGCCGAAAGAUUGGCCCGCGUCUGAUUAGCUAGUUGGUGAGGUAACGGCUCACCAAGGCGACGAUCAGUAGCUGGUCUGAGAGGAUGAUCAGCCUCACUGGGACUGAGACACGGCCCAGACUCCUACGGGAGGCAGCAGUGGGGAAUAUUGGACAAUGGGGGCAACCCUGAUCCAGCCAUGCCGCGUGAGUGAUGAAGGCCUUAGGGUUGUAAAGCUCUUUUGCCCGGGAAGAUAAUGACGGUACCGGGAGAAUAAGCCCCGGCUAACUUCGUG